AGGAUUCUACCUAUGCAACUACCACCCUGAAGAUAAUAAGAAGCUCCCUCAGCUCCUUUCCUGUCAGCAACUAGCCACCUUCACCCCCAGCAGGUAAAAGGAAAAUCAGCUGGAACUUCAAUCAACCAAUGUUACCAUAAACAAAAGAAGAACUUACAUAUUUGGGGUUAAUAUGUGAAGAACUCAUAGGUUUUAUGACCAACAAUAUAUUGCAAUCCAAGGGAAAAAAUGGAAGCAUUAUGAGCCAUUUUCAAAGGCUGUCUCACAAAAUGCACGCUGUAAU